UUUGCUGUUAUACAACAACCCCAGGGCAGCAGCUUAGAUUCAAUUCAACCAUUUGGUUUAAGCCAGCUCCUGAACGGACUAAGCUACUAAAAACAUAAACUCUGAAGAUUGGCAACUGGUAGAAUAAUUUUCCUGCAGAUUGGUCUUUGUAACAAGUGCCAGCCCACAACCAGAGGUAAUAAGGCUGUUUUUCUGGAAUGAAAAUCAAACUGAGUGGAUCCUCCUAUAAAAAUAGGGCACUGUCAUAUACUUGCAGUCUGAACUACACCGACUAAGGACCAGUAUUUUUCAAGAAACAUCUGUGCAGAUUGCUAAUGAAGAUGUUAAAUAGGAGCAAUCCCGAAUCUGCACCCUUCAUUACCCUACUAGAUAUUUUUCCCCUAGUCACUCUCAUAAUCUUUUGUUUAUAGUCUUUCAGCCAGUUUUAACCCACAUGCUCCUAUAAAAUCCAUUGCAAUUCAUUUUCCACUUAUGGCUGCAAAAAAAAAAAACACUGCAGGGAGAAUUUCAAGAACAUAUGGAUACAACCUUGAUCCUCUGAAAGUCAUAAGGAUUGCUGAAAAAAAAAUCCCAUAGGCAACCCAGGAUUUUCUGUAUAUCACUUAUAUGUCAAGGAAGGGAAGAUUUUAAGAAUCAAAAUGAGAGUGGUGUUUGGGACUAUGUGUAUUGAUCCUGCUGUAUUCUUCCUGUAUGCACAGUUAUAUUCAAAGUUAUUAUUGAUAUAUUUUUUGAAUUGUAUGACAAAAACUCCAUCUUCAAUGCAGUAGAUUUCUUACAUAUUCACAUGCAAAGACCUAAAAUAAUAUUCUCUAUUUAAAUUUUAGUCAUUAUCACAUAUGGUAGGUCAAUAGCUAGAUAUCAAUUUGGUAAAAACAGUUUUUAGCUUUAAUAUUUUAUAGAAGCAUAGAAACAUAAUGUAUUAAAAAUUAUCUUGCUUGUUUUUUAGCUAAUACUUUGCCAUUUGGAACCAUGCAAGCUAGGUGAGAGAAACAGAUGUACUGUGGUUUGAAGCUCUGUGAGAAGAUUUUCAUGCAGACUACAGUUCACAUCCCAGACUGAAACAAACUUAAUUGUGCUCACUGGGGCAAAUUGUUCCUUUGUUUACAGUGCAGUGCCCUCAUUGAUUUCAAGCUCAAUAGAACAGCUAUGUUUAGGCUUGUGUACAAUGCUGGGAUAUACGGGAUCUGUUAUGAAAAUAGAGUACUUCAAAUUUAUAAGACUUGAUGUUGGACUUGAAAAGGAAUGGAGUUUAUUUAAUGCAGUCUUUUAGCUUUACAUGAUAGCUUCUAUACAAUUAAGCAGUCUAUAUCGAGUAAAAAAACUCAAAAAAGUGUAGCUUAAAAUAGCUUUUUUUGGCACUUCAAAAGAUCAUAUAUUAAAGAACUAAUUGUUAAGCUUUUAGAUUUUACAAUUGGCUUUUUUCCGAUAUUGAUUUCUUUUUUUCUUCUGAAUACUAGAGAAUAAUUCUUUUCAUUAUGUUAUAGCUUUUUUCUGAUUGCACCAGUUCAGUUGACAUAGACAAUACUUCAUUUAAUCUUAGGUGUGAAGGACUUUCCUCAGGACUUUUACUGGUUUUUCUUCACAGUACCACUUUUCUCUCAGAUUGUCAUUUAGCUCUUAGAGUCUCUCUGCUGAAGUCACUGUGGCAGACAUGUGUCACAUUAGCAGCUCAGAUACACAUCUAGCUUUGAACUGCAGACAAAGUCAGCAAGAAGAGUGAAAUGCUGUCCUUGCUGAUGUCCAUGCUGACAUGGCUAACCAGUCAGGAGUGAGUACUCAACACAGCUAACAUAGAAGCCCUGUAUUUCUGUAAGGCAUUUUUCAGAAUGCACAGUCACAGAGGUGUUAGCUGAACCCCAGAGAGGAAAUCGGGUUUCUGCACUUGUCAGUCUUAUGGCUAAAUCAUCUGAUAGAUCCUAAUUUGAUUUCUAACUUUGCCCUUUGCAUCCUUGAGCAGCUCAGGGAAACAAGGAUAAUAAUUUAUUGUGACGCAGUUCUUAUUGCUUUCAGUGCUAGAGAGCUUCCUGCAUAACUGAACACAUACCUCUGAGUCUUUCCAGGGUGCAAUAUAAACUCCACAGACGCUGGGAAACCCCAGAUUUGUGGCAGAGGCUCUGUUUCACCUGCACAAAAUGAAAGCCUUCUCCAGUCUUGAGUCUUUCACCUGCUCAGACCACAAACUGUUCAGUGCAAGGAUUAUACUCUAUGCUGUGGUGACUGUUCUCUGUUCUCAGAUGUCUUGCCCUUACCAUGAUACAAAUAAAUAAGAGUACCAAGAUACCUUGAUGAUCCUCCUUAUCACAUUUGACACAUUAUCACAUUUAAAUGGUAGAAUCACUGGAACAAUGUUCAAAACAAGAGAUAUGGUCACCCCAGGACAGACCAUAAAUUAAUUGUCUGUAUGAAUUAUCAAAUUUUUUUUGUAUUAUUAUUACUAUUGAGUUUUUUAACAGAGGAGUCUACAGAGGCAGCAUAUUUCUCACAUUUGGUUCCAAAAUAAUUUCAUUUUUGUUCUGAUCAAAUGCACAGACUUCAUUUCACUCCAAAUACUCCAGUUCCCAAGAGUAUGGUGGUUCUCCCUGGAACACAGCAGGAUGUACAGCAGUGUCUCAUCUCUGUUCUUCCUGCCAGUUGACAAUUGCAGUGAAUUCAGAGUUUCUGAAGUUGUCCUCCCAUUGAAGUUCAUGGAGGCACAACAUCCUGCUCCUCACUGCAGGGGUAAGAAGGAAGGCAGCUAGCUGUGUUCCACAGGAGCAGGGAACAGGCUGGCUGUGUUCAUUGCCCAACCUUUUCCCACACCAGCUGUUUCAGGCCUGUGCCAGAGGGAGGACAUGUUGCAGUCUUCCAGCAGGUACUGUCACUGUUGCAUAUGGCCCUUUGGAGGCUAAAUCCCUUUGGGGGGAUUUAAGUCCCUACAGAUGUAAGUCCCUUCUGCACCAUCUCUUUCAAUGUAUUGGUCACACUAAAAAUGUUACAAUCUAGCUCCAAGUGCAGAAGGCCAUGAGGACAUAUAUCUAGAGGAAAUAUAACUCCAAGUUCAUACAAAAUACCUUUGCAAAGGAAAGUAUUUAAAUAAUAUGGUAAAUAGAUUUUUUUUUCAAACACAGAGAUUUUUAAGUCUCAAGAGGAGAACACUGGACUAACCUGGCAAUUCCUUAUCGUAGUGAAAUGGCAUAAGACUCAAUUCUAUACUAUUAUGUAUAGGUGCACAUGUAGAGACAUAUUGUGUAUCUAUCCACACACCUGCAUAUAAUCAUGUGUGCACAUGUGUACUUGAGGUCUCCUCUAGCCUGGGAAUCUCCCUAAUACAUUCUAUCUCACAAUGCACCCAUGAACUAUAGAGUCAUUCUCUGAAAUAAUAUGCCUUGGAUGCAUUACUUCCAGCAAUAAUUGCCAUCCAGAUGGUGGUGGUAAAUUAGGCAAUAUUAUUGGUAAUAAAAGUUAGAAACUUCAGAUUUUCUGAAUGGCGUAUUCAUAUAAAGACUUUCCGAAACAACAUCUUUAAUCACAAGACCAUCAAAUCAUCCAAUUUCAUCUUUCCUCCAUUUUUUGGAACAUUUCACUAGUAUUUGUUCUAUCUUGUUCUGUCUUUUUCUAGUGAUUGCUGUGGUUGUGGUUUUUUAAAUACCACCUACUUCCCAAUAACUACUCUGUUUACUUAUAACCACCAGCUAUCUCAUCAAUUGCUAUCAAUACCUAUGCUUUAGAAAGGGAAAGCACAUAAAGUUCCAGACUUUAACACAGCAUAAUAUAAAAACAUUUGCAAAAUAAUGUAGGCAGAAAUGCUUCUGGUUGCUAUUACUUCCACUGCAAAUAAUGCCAUCUGCUUAUCAUUAUGCCCCAGUGCAUGCUAUCUUACAUGUGGACAGAACUUGUAAUGUGUUUCUGUCUCUGUAGGAAACAGCUUGAAAACUACGCCCUGGAAUAAUGUCAUGAAGAAUACCCUCUUGGCUCUUUCCAAUUAAUUUCUCAGCAACAAUUUACAAUAGAAAGCUGUAGUUAAAAAGCAACAAAUACUGACUUGACCUUUUAAAUUGAAAUUCCCAUGUUUUAGUUUUUCUGUGAGGAAGAAAGAGAGUUUUCACACAAAUUAAGCAUGAGCAGUAGCCAGCAAUAAACCCAGAAGAUUCUGAAAAGAACAGGAAAUGUAUGAGAAAAUGCUAACAAAUUUGCACAUUUAAUAUUAGUAUGAGUGGCAGGUCACAAAUCUGCAAAAGUGUCACACAUUUAGAUGUUGCUUUGUCUGUUAUUGUUCUUUAACUUUCAUGCAGACUGUGAAUUAAAUCUCACAGGAUUUUAUGUUUCCAUGCUUAGGAAUGUUUCAUUCAAUUUGUUAUUCCAGUUCAAUUAUCUUUCUAUAAUGUAGUAUUCAAAAUACCUUAAGACAGUGUGUGUGUGUUUUACAGCUAAACAGUCUAUAAAUUUGGGAUGUUUAUGGACUCUUGUAUCUAUCUGUCCUUUCCAUGCCAGUGUUGUGUUCUGGAAUUUUAACAGCAGAGCUUGAACUUCUAUAUGAAAUUCCUAUUGCAAAAGACUCAGGAAAAGAGGUCUCAAUAAAACAUUUUCAGGAGACAGAAUGCCUUUAAAAUAAAGAGUUGGGGUGUUUUUUUCACAGUUUUUGCAUGGAACAAAAAAAGGGUGGAAUGAAAAUGAGGGAAUGGAAAAAAAUAAGGGUGGACAACUUUCCUAACAGUCCACUGUCCUUGUUUCCCAACAAUUAUAUUUCCACAUUUACAGACUCACUGUACAGCUGACAGUGGUCAUUUUUCACCAAACUGUGAAAAAAAAAUUGCUUUAUCUGCUCAGGCAAGAUGAAAGGUGUACAAGGAACUUAGAUUAAAUACUGAACUCCAGAGGUCUGUCUUUGCUUUCUCUGUGAAACUUCCAAUUUGAUUCCACUUGAGAUGAGGCAAUGGUCAAUGGUUCCUGGCGAACAUUCAUCACAGGCUUCAGAAUGAAACAGACAUUUCUCAUAUGGCAUAUUUUAUAUUUAGAAUGUCAGAAAACAGUCUGGAAGAUUUCCUGCAGGCAACAAUCAGCCUGUUCUGUACCUCUUUCUAAUUUAGAAUUUAAAACAUUUGAUUUUUAUAAGCUCAGUAGUUUCAAUGUGAUGAAAAUAUAUAAAUUGUUUUGUCUUCAAUAAAAGAAGUUUCUCCAGU